AUUGAACGCUGGCGGCAGGCCUAACACAUGCAAGUCGAGCGCGAAAGGCCUUCGGGCUGAGUAGAGCGGCGGACGGGUGAGUAACGCGUAGGAAUCUACCUGGUAGUGGGGGACAACUCGGGGAAACUCGAGCUAAUACCGCAUACGCCCUACGGGGGAAAGGCUUCGGCCGCUAUUGGAUGAGCCCGCGUCGGAUUAGCUUGUUGGUGGGGUAAUGGCCUACCAAGGCGACGAUCCGUAGCUGGUCUGAGAGGAUGAUCAGCCACACUGGGACUGAGACACGGCCCAGACUCCUACGGGAGGCAGCAGUGGGGAAUAUUGGACAAUGGGCGAAAGCCUGAUCCAGCAAUGCCGCGUGUGUGAAGAAGGCCUGCGGGUUGUAAAGCACUUUCAGUAGGGAAGAUUAUGACGGUACCUACAGAAGAAGCACCGGCUAACUCCGUGCCAGCAGCCGUCGGUAAUGUCAGUGACU
rnacentral:rRNA from 1 species